UUGGUUUUGGAAGGUAAAAAAGUUUCAUUAACACAAGAAUAUUACAAGGAUUUUGGCACAAGGUACAUCCAAGUUCCAUCAGAUUCAAGUACAAAUCAUUACAAGACCAUUAUAAAAAGACCACAUGAAGAAAAUUAAAAAAAAAUGUUUCAGUUGACCAUUCACCCUUAACAUUGGACCAUGACUUCUAGUGACUUUUAUAAAUCCAUCUCACUCAUAUCUUAAAUUCAAUUCCCAUUGCAUUUCUUUUCAAUACCUUCAUCUUUCUUCAUGAUCAAGCAAACUCUAAAAUCAUGACUCCAAUGACCAUGUUGCCAACCCGCAAAACCAUUUAAAGCAAUUUCAGUACAGCCACGACAGUUCAAGAUAAAUAACAUAAAGCAGUCAUGAUUAAGAGUGUGAAAAAAAACAGGUUAUUCAUAAGCAAAUUGGUAUCCAAAUUGUUCCGCUCUUAAAAAACCAAACCAAAUACUAAAAUAAAAAUUUGAAUAUCCAUUUUUUUAUCCACCACCAUUACUCAUUAUAAAAAUUUAAUUUUAUCAUUGGAUAUCCAAAUUUUACUAUGCCUUAAAUUUUUAUUUUUUCUGUUUUCAUGUUUUAUCAUAUUAUAAAUUAACUUUAUAUUUUAUUAUUUAAAAUUUUAUAAAAAAAUUAUUUUUAAAAAAAAAUCUUUUCACAAAAAAUAUUAUAUUCGAAAAAACUAUAUUUGAUAUUUUUUUCAAUUAAAAUUAUAAUUUUCUUCUAAAUAAAAAAAAUAUAUUUUUUAUCAAAAAUAUUUUGUAUUUUUUCAGUAAAAAAAUUUAGAUUUUUUUUAAAUAAUUUUUUUUUAAUAACUUUUUUAAUUUUCAAAAAGGUUAUUUUUUCAAAUUUUCAGAAUAAAAAAACUUUUAUUUUCAGAAAAAAAAAUUUUAAAAUAAUAAUUUUUUAUUUUCGAUUUUUAUUUUUUUAAAAUAAAUUUUUUUCAGUUAUUUUUAUUUUUUGGAAUAAUUUUUUUUUCAUUUUCAAAAUAUAAUUUAAUUAUUUUCAACUUUUUUUUGAUAUUUUUUUUCUUUUUUCUGAAUAUUUGUUAUUAUUUUUAUUUGUUUAAUUAUUUUUUGUAUGUUUUUUAAAUUUUAAAAUAAAAAGUAUUUUAAAACCUCAUAAAAUUUAUUUAUGUUUUUAAAUUUAAAAAUUAAUAUUAAUUUAAAGAAAAUAAAAUUUAAAUUAAAUAAUUUUGAUUAAAAUCAAAACCCAUUUAAAACCGGUUCGAAACCGAUUCGGAAUUUUAAAUUGAUUUUUGUGAAAAGUGGUUUGGUUUAACCAUAACCCUAAAAAUGGAUUGGUUCAUACUAAAUGGUAUCCAUGCUCAUCCCUGGUCAUGAUAGAAGAUAAGGACCAGGCAGAUUAAAGGCUUAUGCGUCCAUCAAACAACUUUUCAGAUUUAGGACAUUUCAUGACCAUGCCUAAACUUUAUCCAUACUCACUAAACAUUGAAUUUAAGCCUUGUGAAUCAACUGUACUUAGAGACAUUCAGUAUACCAGCCAUGUUCAGAUAAUUCCAAAUCAAAUUCAAGGCCAACACAGAAUACUAUCAAAGUUAUUCAGCACGUAUCAUGAAAAGGGCAAAAGCAUAAAGGCCAAAUUCUAGGGAAAAAAUGUAGGCCAUCUCGUUUCAGUACCAAUGUGCAUUACAAUUGCCAAACCCAAAAGCAACAUAAGCCUUUCAAAACAGUAAAAAAAAAACAUUCAUCAAAUUCAUGCACACACAUAGUCAUACACAUAUAUAUAACAUGCCAUAACUUUAAAUAACAUCAAAUGCAAGCUGAAACACACAUUCACCAACCGCCAUGGCAUAUGCAUUACCGGUUUAGAUUUCAAGCAAUCUUACAACAGCUCAAAGUGUCAAAGCAACUUAGCAGCAGUCACACUAACAUGUCCUAGCCAGUUCAAUUUAACAAAUUUCUAUACAUCAUAUCAAUAACAUAAUCUAAAUUCAACAUACUAAUUUGUAAUCCAAGUUUCAACAGCCUGCAAUUUACACUUAUAUGGCAUGCUUUAAACUAACUACUAGUAUAGUGCAACAACAUAACCUAACUGUACCUAGCUCUGUUACACAUGGAUAUGCAAGUUGCCUUAGCCAACCUUUUCCACUCACUAAUUGUUUUCAUAACAAUCUUUAGUUUAAUCCAAUUAAUCCUUAAUCCUCACCAGUUACAAUGGAUUUCCAGUUAGCAUAGUGGUCACUAACUUUUAACUCAUCCUAUCUUUCAUUAACUCACCUUAAAGAUUCAUGUAACUCAAUAAACAUUCAAGCAUCGUAACUAACUAUCAGUUUAAUUUCCCUAUACAUUCUAACUAAAACUAACCAUAACAACUAACUCCUAACAGAUCCCAACUAAUUAAUAGAACUCUAACUUUCAUUUCCAAACUAACUUCACAAAACAGUCCCUAACUGAGUUAACUUGCACUAACAGAAUUAACAUCUUCAUCACUAACUAACUGAGUUCAAAAUAACUAACUCUAACUGUCUAACUCAGUUACUAAUUAGCACUAACAUAAACUAAUUGAUUCAACAGCUAACAGAACUAACGAAAUCUAACAGUAUUAAUAGACUUAACGAACUUACACUGUGAAGAUCUAACAAAAUUUAACAUUGCUCUAACUGUCUAGAAGAAGAAGGAAGAAUUGGAGAAGGGAAGGAUUUGUAGAUUCAGGAACUACCAGAAUAUUGGUGGUUAUUCUUCGAAGUUCAUCUUCAUCUUCAUCAAUUCCUACAAAACCGGGGAGCACCUCAUCCUUGUAGGUAAGACUUUCUCCUUUUCCAUCCACUUGCCUUGAUUCGUUGGCCACGAUGUAACUUCAAGCCUCGGGAAUCAAAGCCCUAACAUGGUAGGCUUUGAUUCCUCAAGUUCGCCAUUUAAUUUGUGUUUGCUUCGUUAGGGUUCAUAAGAAUAUUUCUUCGGUUUAAGACUUAGGUUAGAAAUCAAGGAAAAAUAAUGUGAUAUGAUGAUAAAGAUGAGGGAGACGAACACGCUGGUAUUAGUUUGCUUGAGGUUUGACCUCCACCACCGCCGGAGGCAACUUCUGGCGCGGCGUAGUUAUUGUUUCAGAUGAGGGUAGCUCAUAGGCAUGUUUAGGAAGAAUUCUGAGCUUCUCUCCCCCUUCCACUCUUCAAUUCACGGUUUGGGCCUCACACUAGACCAAGACCCACAAAUUCCUAUAUGCACCCUGUUUUUCCCAUACACACAUUAUACUUUAGGAAAAUACGCUUGGGCCUUCUCAAUUAAGGCCCAGCAUCCUGUUUGCUGACCAUUGCACCCUACAAACGCCUCAUACCCCUCCUGAACUAUGACCAAC
rnacentral:lncRNA from 1 species